rnacentral:lncRNA from 1 species
UUUUUUUUUUUUUUUUUUUUUUUGUCAACACAGGGGUGUCCGGGUCAAGACCCGAAGGCGGCCCGACUAAUCCCCUGCGCCCAAGUACACCGCCACCCCAAGCGCACCGGGAGUUAAGUGGGAUUCGAUCACUUGACCUUGGAGUUCCGGAAGAACCCCAAGACCAGAUGGUCUAGCCCCGGGGGGCAGUCAUUGCUAUAUUUGCUUAUCAAACAGUAAGUACAUGCAUUAAAAUCUUGGCUUCAACUCCCUAUAUUUGUGCUAAAUUAUGUUUCAAUUCUUUAGGAAAGUAAUUAAAUUAAACUUCAUUACGUUAGGACAUUUUAGGGUAUUUAUCUAAAUAUUGGACCAACUAAUGCUAUUUUGAGGAACUAUCUAAUGUUAUUUUAAGGUUUGGUUACUAAAACUAUCAAAUCAGGGGAGAUUGGUGUAAUUUUUGAAAUAUAAAGAUAAUUCGAUGAAAUUGACAAAAACCUUGAGGUUUCUAAAACUGUUCCUUUGUAUUAUAACAAACUCUCAACCCACCAUGCCAUGAAACAAAGUUAUUUUGGUUCUUAAAGUUGAACGGUUAUCAUAUUUUGAUUUUUGUCAUUUCUGUGCUUUUUUUUAUUUUAUUUUUUUCCUUGGCGUAAUUAUUUUUUUUCUAUAGGUAUCCAAUUAGAGAAAGACGUGCAAUAUUUUUGCCAAAAUGAUAUCUGAUAGAAUUGGCUAGAAAUACUUGGCCAAUUGGACACCUAAAUUAUACAUCUCUUCCCAUUAUAUUGUUGUUCUUUUUGGUGAUUUGCAAAGUGUGGAUGUGGAUAUACAUCAACUCUUCCAAGUCCUCGUACGAAUGAUAGCUUACUUCCUUUUUGAAAUCUCGGUUUUCAUCAAGAAAUAUGAUUACCUUUCUAAUAAAGAUAAUUUCUAGGGGAUCAAAUUUCAAACGUAUAAGAACACAAAUUGUACCUAGUUGCUUUUGUUUCUAUCUUGGAGGAAAUUGUGAAAAGAAAGCCACACCACUAGUACUAUCAAUCACACUUAAAUUUGUCUACCACUCUUAUAUUAUCUACGAUGAAUAAUUUAAGUGAUAGACGUUUUCUGAGACCAACACCCAAAUGGGAGGUAAUGGGUCUAAUAGAUCGUGUCUCACGGAUUCUGAUAUUGAGUCAGUCCACGCGUCUUUUUUGUAUAUGUCCCCGGCUGCACUAUAUUUUUGCAGUUAAAUCGCAUAUCAUUCAGUUCCCAGGUAGAAAGCGUUUCUAGAAGAUCUUAAGCGCAACUCACGAAGAAACGUGACACACGCUCGGGAAGAAUAUGGGUAAGUUUCGCUUUGAAUCCUUAAACUAUAGAUGUACUCUCGCUUUAGUCCUAAAACUUUAAUUGCUAACGCUUUAUCCCUUAGAGUAUGAAAUGCAUCUCAUUUUAAUGAGAGUGCGUAUAUAAUUUAAGGGUCCAAAAUGAAAUUUAGUCACUCUGAUACAUCCUAUAUGUUCCUAUCAUCCCACUCAACAAGCAAUGAUGAUCACAUGAAGUGAUUAUUUUGAUCGAAUAUAAUAGUAUCACAGACGCUGCAAUUAUAAAAAUAUAGAUAAAAAUUCUCCCAAUCCUUAUUUUGCAUUGUUUUGAAUUUUAAAUAUUCGUAAAGUGUCCAAAAAUCAAGGAUUAAAAAUGUCUAAAUAUAGGAAUAAAAAAUACAAUAAAGAUGAAAUUGAGUGAAUUAAUAGUUACAAGUGGCCUGUAGCCUUUAAAAUCACAGUAUUAAUUUUCCUAUUUCGACUUUGAUCACUCAUCAUUCAAAGAGCAAACCGUUUCAUAUAACGUUGCAUGUGUUGCAGUGACUCAACACUGACAGACUACAAAUGUCUCGCAAAUGAUAGGUUUAACAUUAAUUGAUUAUUGAGAUUUUAGAACUUUUAAUUCUUUGGAUUUUUAUCCUUUCUUGUUUCACCACUAUAGAGUCCAAGACUUCAUUGAUGAAAAACAAACGGCUAUGAUCUAUCAUUUUUUUUUAUUUUUGCUUCUUGGGUUAUUAACUUUGAUUGAUUGAUUGAUGAAAUUGAGAAACAACCACCAAACUAAUUGAAAAAUUUUGAAAUGUUCUCCACCUAAUCUGUGAAAAUUAGAACACAAGAAUCAAACAAGUUGGUCAGAUUGCAAAUACAUAUGAAGCAACAAAUAACUCAAUAUUGAAACUUAUGCAAAUCUGAAAGCAAAAAAAAAAUGUUGUACCCUAACUAUAGGGGAUUAGAAUGAAAAUUAUGUCGUUGAUUAUGAAAGAAAAAUGAAUGUUAGAGAUGGAAAGCUUAUUGAAGGCUCAUCAUGUUAUUUCUUCCCCAAAUACACGGGGCCUUGCACUCACUUAGCGAACCUCUCUUCUUCUUGGACGUUUUGGCAACGAUUGGUUGCCCUCCUUGGCCUAAGGCACUUUCCCCCAAGUUUAGGACAAAACCAAUAUUUCAGAGGUUAACACUGAAUUGAACACAAACUUCUGACUGAAAACUACAAAGUGAGUGCUGGUUUCACCAUGAUUAGUUAACUAAUUAAAUGGGGUGUUCUAAUCUAACUGGGUGUGUGAGUUUCUACCACUUUGGGAGAAAAAAACUAUUCAUUUGGCGAGGGUGUGCUCGAGAGGGGGGAGGGGCAUCCCUCCCACAUCGGUUGGAUGUGGGUCAGUUAACCUGGGUUUAAGGUCCAUAGGGGUCUCGUUCAGACACCAAUUGGGUGGACGUGAGUUCUUUGUGAGUCCUCCUUAGAUUAAUACUCUUUACUGGAUCGUUUGGCCGCUGCCUUCCUGAAUGUUUUUAAUCUAACUGGGUGUGUGAGUUUCUACCACUUUGGGAGAAAAAAAAUUAAAUAGGGUGUUCAAGCUUAAAUGAGUUCCAUUGUUGUCAAAUUAUCUCUCUAUAAACUUAAAAUUUUUAUGGUGAAGGCAUUAAUUAGUUAUCAUAGUUUAAUUUGAAUAGGUCUCGUGUCUAGAUUCUAUAGAGGACUUAGAUAAUAACUUGACAAAGUAGAGAUUGAACACAAUUUUCAAUAUUCACACAAGUGUUCAUGGGUGGAGGCCAUAAUUUGUGUAUGAGAAAACAUUCAUGCCUUGAAAUGACACAACAACCAUUCCAACUCCUCCUCCACUCCGAGCGCUGGUGCUACCAUGGACCAUGGUCACUAUCUCCUCCUCUUCUUUUUCUCAUACAAAUUCGAUUAAAAAAUUGACCAACUCAGAACUUAUUUACCAUGUUUUGCACUAAAAGCCCCUAUAUAUCCACCAAAUUCUUUUCAAGUUUAGUCUUCUUUAUCAAAAGACAAUUGAGCCCAAUAUAAUCAAUCUAUAUAUAGCAACUCUAGAAAAUUGAAGGACCAUCUCCACAGUCCACUCAAGGGCAGUCUUAUAAAUUUUUUUUUUUUUACCUUCCACUCCUCCCCGCACCCUUUCCACCACUACAAGAAAUUUGGCAUUUCAUGACUUGCCAGAUUAAUGCAAGUCACAAAAAAAAAAAAAAAACUUACUUUUUAUGACAUGACAUUGGUGCAUGUAGCAAUAAGUUGGUUUUAAGUCACAAAAUACAUGACCUAAAUUCAUUUACGAAUCACAAUUGGUCUUUCAAGUCACAAGAUCAAUUGUGACUAGUGAAAUUUAAAAACUCUCUCCCAGCCAAUGGACAAUCCCAUAAUUUCUUUAUGGUUGGCUUUUACAAGUGAUAUAGCCUUACUAGUCAACUUCAAGCAAAGCUGAGAAGCGCGCAUGCGUCAAGAUUCAAUGCUGCACGUUUAGGUCUCUCCUUCAUACGUGCUUUCGGCCGCCAGCGACAAUGAAGUAGUAGUCUGUAUGCUUAAGCAUCAGUCAGAUACAGACCCAUACAUGCUUAACUAACCAGCCACGAGACCCUGCAAAUUGACAACUCAUGAUUUGCAAAACAAUCCAGGAUAAAAUAUACUUGCUUCUCAAGACAAUAUGAAUAUCAAUUCUUACUAAAUUUACAAAAUUUUUCGCAAUAACAAAAUUAAACGGAGACCAUUGGUUGUGUAGAUUGCACGAACGGUGUCCCAUAGGUCUUCAAGAGCCCUUAAAUUGAAGAAUGAAAACCAUUGGAAAACUCUAUAUAUGUAUAACUUGAUGGAAGAUAAUAAAGAAUAUUCUUAAAUUAUUUGUUACUGGCCAUUACUAUAUCGAAUUCUUACACCAUUGUAAAGUAUGAUUUUGCUUGCGAAUCUGCUAGGAACCAAUCUUAUAUCCUGCAACAUUUGCACGAAAUAUCAAUUGAUGGAACUGGAAGCAUUUUUUUUUUCCCUCAAAAAACCGGAAGUCAUGUUAAUGUCUCAGCCAUGAAGAAACACCUUUUUUGUAGUAAUCUGGUGCUUAUGUCGAGGAUAUUAGAUAAGAGUUGUAACCUGUCCAAUCAGGGCACCAUAUAUAUAUAUAUAUAUAUAUCUGCUAGUGCAGUUCUUCAUAAAUUGCUUUAAGUCCAAGGAUUGAGGAGGGCUAUGAUCGGCAGAUGAUGAUUGACGGCUAAGCAUUUCUGUGCAAGACUAACAGGUAAUCUGACUUGAUACAUAUAAUUUUAAUCAUUAAUAUUGUAUGAGAAAAAAAAAAAAAGAGAAACAAGUAAUAAGUACGAAAAAUGCAUGAAAAAGUUUAAAGUGGCCAAAUUUCAAUUUAACAAUCUAUUAUGGGCAAGUCAAAGUUACCGAAGAAUAUCGCGUCGUUGUCACGAACUUUGUCACGAUUCAAUACCACGCCUCAGUCAAGAAUGAAGGCCAAGCAAACGAUGAAGAAGAGAUAUAAUGUUGCCGUAAUUCAUUAGAGAACAAAAUUGGAGAUGAGAAUUUAGAAAUAAAGGACAUUUCCAUUUACUUGAUCAUCUUCCAGUAACAAAACAUUGCAUGCAAUGCAAGUUAUUUCAAAUCGGACUUGGAUACAUAGCCUUGCUCAUGCAUUCUGUCUUUUUGGAAAAAUUAAAGGCUCUUUUCAAUUGAUUUUCGGUCUUUAAUUAAUGGAAGAAAGAUCAGCAUAAUACGUUUUGAUCCAUCCUUCGAUGAUUCGAACCUCCAUCUUCCGUUGCAUGACUAACCACUCUGGAUCCGUACUUUGGUUUGCUGGAUAUAAGUCUAAGCCAUGACACCCUGAAAUGUGAAAAUAAUAUGUUUUUGAACUUAUAAACUAGUAAAUGUAAGACACCAAGUGUUGGAUAACAUACAGGAGAAAAACUAUGUACAGACCAUUUGUCAAAUGCUCCACGAAAUGUAUCUAAUCUUUUUUCUUGUUUCCAACUGAGACGUUGUCCAACGGAUUGUAGGUCAGGCCCUGUCUCUGAAAUAUUUAAAUUUUUUUUGGGAAUUUAUUUUCCAUUUUUUUUGGGUAGAUUGAGAAUGUAUCUAUAUAUGUCCUUUCUAGGAAUAGUAAUAAAAUUUUCUACAAUAAAAUGGUGAAAAUAAUGAAGGAAAAAUUAAUAGCCAAACCAAUUUUUAACUUCAAAAGAAAAAGGGCGCAGAAUGGAACGAGAACAUGCUUGAGCUUCAAUGUUGCUGCCAUUAAUUGAUUUCUACUGUUUUAUUCUCUUUUUCUUUUCUUUUUUUUAUUUUCUCUUUGAUUCUCAGAAAAAAAAAGGAAAAAAAAAAGAAUUGAUAAUGUCCAGUCCAAACCAUGAGCGGUAGAUAUAGCCAAAAGACUGUCAGAUAAGUCCUCGAGCACCCUAUAAAUAAGCCAGAAAACCAUUACAAGAUGAUCCAGUACAGGCAUGACUUCAAAGCUCAAACAAAAGACAAUAAUUUUUUUGAUAGUAAAUAUGACAUACCCGCCACUGCUAUAAGGAUCUUUUCGACCAUUAGAAAAAAUGAUGUUGCUGGCAAACUUCUGAAGGGUAAGUUUUAUGUCCUGCACAAUAUUGCAAACAUCACGUGCAACUAUACUGUUAGGCAUGUAGUGGCUACAUCGAGGAAGAUAGAAAGGAUACGAAGGAAUUUGGAACUGUGCAUGUUAUGGGACUUUACUCAACAAAUUUUUACUUUUACAUAGGUUACUAUAUAGUCAGGUAUUUCUGAUUUUAUAGACAUAUUUGGCAUUUUGUAUAGAGCAGAUUCCUUCUGUUUGAGAAAUUUCUAUUCUGAUUGAUAAAAGUUUAUAUUUCACGUAAAAAAAAAAAUCAUAUGCCACCCCUUUCUCGAAUUUUGUGUGUGUGUGGAGUUUUUUUUUUUUUUUUUUUGGGGGGGGGUGUUUGUGGUGGUGUGUUGUCAUCUUAUGUGUAUUUUGGACAUGAUUUAAAUGUUCAAGAUUCUGUCGGCUUCGAAUCUUCUGUUUCCAAAUUAGUCUCUAUCCCCUUUGUCCCUUCUUUAUACUGUUGCCACGUGUCUCUAAAUUUUUAAUGACCCAAACAAAUCGAUAAUAAUUGAUUGACAAGUUUACUCAAAACCAAUUAAAACAGAUAGGUCAAAACUUUUUUUUUAUAUUUUUAUUUUAACAAAAAAGAGUCUUGUUGAUCUUAAAUGUAGAAAUCAACUAAAACUCUUCUUUAAUUUUUACCGCAAAUCAACUAAAAUUAAAUGUAGAAAUCAACUAAAAUUCUUCAAUUAUUAUUGGUUUUGAGUUUAGGUUAUCAAAGAGUUAGAGACACUUGGAAACUGUACAAAGAAAGGAUAGAGAGGAUAGAGACUAAUUUGAAGACAGAAGAUUCGAAGCGGAUUCUGUGAAAGCAAUAAAGAAGAAUUGCCUACUAGCAUAAUUUGGACUCGUGAAAUGCAGGGUAUAAAAUGAAAAACAUACAUGGCCUCCGUAGUAGGUUGUGAUCCAAUGAGGUCGAGGCGGGACGCCAUAAACAAGUUUACAGUAUUGGGUGAACUCCGUCAAAUUAAAAGGGGCUGGCUGGAACAUAUGAGCUUCAACAGUCCGUCCAAUGGGCAUUACCAUUUCACUACAUCUCUAAGAACCAAGACAUUAAUGUUAUCCCAAUCCAGAGAAAAUAAGAAAAGGAAAUUAAAGGGCCAUUUUGACCUGAAGAGCCAAAAUCCAAACACUAGUGUACUGUCAUGAAAAUCCAAAUUUAGAAAAAAUUGUUUUCAAAAGCAUAUAUACUUGCCAACCCCAUCCCUCGUUUGUUUCAGUGGGACGAUGAAAGUAGUUGACAUCAUAGCAGGAUGAAUUCUUUCCAAAUGCAGACUCAACACCAGCAAAUAUUUGGCCAAUAAUAUCAGUCUGGCUUCCAGCUCGAUCAAUGGCUUCACAGAGCACUGUAAGAGGAUAAUCAGGCGGAUGAUUAUAUUGAGCAUGGGAUGCAUACAUUGACACUAAAAAAUUCUUGAGCUCAACGCCACUGUUCAAGUGCCUGAAAAUACAAAAAGGGUUUUAUUAUACAAGCUGUUCUAUUUUGCUUCAAGGUCACAUGCCAAAGAGAAGUCCUCAAGGAAGCAUGAAGGGCUUACGAGCAAGUCUUGAAUCUCUGACUCAGAAUGGAGAGACCACCUGGUUGAGAGGCGAUAUUGUCAACUAUAUCCCACGAAUCUUUGAUUGUCCGGUAACAACUUGCGCUAGUCGCCUGCAAGAUCAAUCAUCAAGGGUGAGAAUGUCUGAAUUUUUUCCACGCAAGGUGAUUUGAGAUACUUUGAAAGACCAUUAUGUAAAUACAUUAGAUAGAUAGAUUAAAACAUAUUAAUUUUUCUUGGAUAAAUGAAUACAUUAUUAUUCCAAGUUGCUUCUGCUUGUUCUCUUGCUUUUCUCGAUGCAAACAAGAAUGUACUACUUGAAAUCUUGUUAAAUUAGUAGUACAUUACAAGAAAAUCUUUGGUCACGAUCCAGUAAUAUCCAUCUUGCGGAGUGAUGUUGUCGAAAUAAAGAACGGGUGCUGAUGAGGCUAAAGCUCCAAUAGCAAUGUGUGGAUACUUGAGCCGGAACCAUGCUGCUGCUGCCAGCACUGGAAAUUUUGUGAAGAAGAAACUGCUGUAAGAUAAUAAUAACAAUAAUAAUAGCAAGUUGAUACAAUCUAUAAAAGAAAAAGUAUACACAUGGAAUUUAGGAAAGGCAUUAUUCUACUCUUCUUACUUCCUCCAUAUGACCCCCCAAAGACAAUAACUGGAGAAUUUGGAGAAGAAAAUCUCUCCUUCACGUAUAGCAAGACCUCUGCAUAAUCAGCUAUAGCCUGAGCUGAGUUAAAGAAUCCGCGAGUGGUCUCAUUUUUUAAUGCUUCUUCCAUUGAACCAAAUGGAACUGAUUCUCCAUAAUAUCGAUGCUGGAAAAAUCAAGAAUUAACCAAGUCCUGACACCAGACAACGUCAAACCAUGAAGAAUAAUUUUAAUCUUAACUUAGGGCACCUCUACAUAAACAACAAGAGCAUUAAAGAAGGGAGCAUGAUCAACAGGAAAACCAACACGGAGGAAAUCAUGAUCAAGUGGGCUUUCUGCUCCAAGAUGUGCAAAUAUUGGUGAGCUUGAAUUUGCACCACCCCAGUAUUUAGUGUUGAUGGCAUAUUUCUGCUUGAAAGUGGCAUAACUUGGAGGUCCAUAAUUAAAGUGGUCUAGAGUUUGUUCGUAGAAGUACGUUUCGAAAUCAUGUAGUGAUACAGGAGAUGAUGAUGGAGAGAUGGAUUCAAGAUAUUGGGGAAUUGAUCCGUGAAGAGUUAGCCUCGGAAUAUUAUAUGGUGCUCCUGAAUUGGAAUAAAUUGAGAAGAGCAAGAGAAUAAGAGGGACUCCAUAAGAUUUUGGUGUUGGAGGUUUCAUGGCAAAGGAUUUUGAAACUUUGAAUUACUUCGUUCAACUAUGACUCUACUCUUUUUAAAUAUAAAAGCUUUCGACAAAGUAAGGUCAUUUUCUUUCCCUUCUCCUUGGAGUACGAUUUUUGUAUCCAACAGAUUAACUCGUGCACAUGCUUAAACACGAAAAUUACUUUAAAGACGUAAACAAAAAAGAAAAAAAACUUACUUCUAAUUCUCCGAAGAAGUUCUAAUCAAGCCAGUCAAGGCGGCCAAAAUAACAUUGCAUUUUAUUCCCAUAUGUUGUAAAGGAAUAUUCGAUAUCCAAAGCUUGUUUUUUUGUGUACUCCGAGGCUUCAUUGUGGUUUCCACUUUUGGAGUAUUUGCUUGGGAGUUUGCUCUCAACGAUUAAAUGCCCCUUGAUAAAUCUAAAGAAACGCGGAAAAUCCAUGUAAAAGGAAUAAACAAGAUUUCUUCAACUGGUUCAAAGCUUCAGUCCAGAUUUUUUUUUUCUUUUUCUCUUUGGUUUUUGUGAAGAAGACAAUUUUAAGUACAGCUGGUGUUUUAGUGUAACAAACUCCUAAUCAACACCAAAAUGUAUCAUCUGUCUGAUUUAUUUCGUAAAAAUGUUAUGAUCUACACAAAUAAAACGUCUACAAGUAACGUAAUUGUAAUAAUGUAUCCUGAACCCGUGGAUUCUGUUCUACGAGCUUCUAACCGUGAAAGCCCCCUCUUCCUUCUCGUUUACAGCUUGGUCAUACCAUCCCUCUUCCCCUCUUUCAAUUUUUAUACAGAGAAUUCGCAAUUGUUAAAUAUUUUCUCUUUGUGAUUUUUUCCUCUAUUAUGCCAUGCAGAAAGGAUUCAAAACUUCAGCCAUCAGUCCUAUUUCCUUUUCAAUAUGUAAAACAUCAAAGCGGAUAGUUCCAAUUCGUGAAACUGGAAGUACUUUGAAAAUUAAUCGAACAACAAAAAUUGCUUUGCCGUGUGCAGCAGAAGGAACUCUGACACCAACAAAAUAAAAAUAUACAAAAGAGAGAGGAAGAAAUUUCUAUGUAUUUGGGUUCCCAAACUUCCAACUGAAUGACUGCUGCCAAAGAGCCAACUAAUAUACAAGAUCAGCAAUGACAACAUAUGAAUAUAUUCAGUACAUGGAAUGCAAGUUAAUGCGCUUGUUACCCCAGGUUGUUCAAUAGCAUGAAAUUCCAACAUUGGUCAACCAAUGCCUUUCAACCUUCCCCAGUUGCAUUAUUCAACACAACUGCAAGCAGCGCCCCGAAAU